AAGGUGUGGGAUCCACUCCUUUUGGAAACCGGUAGCUAAUACCGCAUAACGUCGCCGACCAAAGAGGGGGACCUUCGGGCCUCUUGCCAUCAAUGUGCCCAGAUGGGAUUAUCUAGUAGGUGGGGUAAUGGCUCACCUAGGCGACGAUCCCUAGCUGGUCUGAGAGGAUGACCAGCCACACUGGAACUGAGACACGGUCCAGACUCCUACGGGAGGCAGCAGUGGGGAAUAUUGCACAAUGGGCGCAAGCCUGAUGCAGCCAUGCCGCGUGUGUGAAGAAGGCCUUCGGGUUGUAAAGCACUUUCAGCGAGGAGGAAGGUGGUGAGCUUAAUACGCUCAUCAAUUGACGUUACUCGCAGAAGAAGCACCGGCUAACUCCGUGCCAGCAGCCGCGGUAAUACGGAGGGUGCAAGCGUUAAUCGGAAUUACUGGGCGUAAAGCGCACGCAGGCGGUUUGUUAAGUCAGAUGUGAAAUCCCCGGG
rnacentral:rRNA from 1 species